rnacentral:lncRNA from 10 species
CAAGCGGUCACUCCUUUCCCGUUUUACUGUUAGGGGAAGGAAGCCACAGCCCAGUGGGGAAGUGACAUCCCUGGCCCUUGCCGUUCACCACUUCAAGUCUUGCCCAGCUGUCAGGGCAGGAAUUCAUGUCCCCACGGUGGCAUCUGCUUCCCAGGCUGUGGGGCCAGCAAGGGGCUCAGCUGCUCCCCAGCCCUGCCUUCCUCCAUGGAUCUGACAUGACUCUUUUAUGGGAAUUUACGUAAAAGUAACGCCUUGCUCAGUGUGGAAAAUUUAGGAGCUUCAGGAAAAUAUAAAGAAAAUUAAGGAAGUCAUCUCGCUUCUCAAAUACCGUGUUAAUUUGGGAGAGCACCUGCCAGGCAGCAGUGUCGCUCAGCUUAUGCGCAGCCAGCUUGGGGACUACAGCAGCUCAUCCUAACAAGAGACCAGAACUUCAGGCUGGUCUGAGGCAUGUGCCCACCUCUGGGUCACACGUCAUUCUUGAAGCAGUGGGCAAGUCAAAUAUCCCCACCCCUCCUGCACAGAAAAGGGGAGGAUCCCAAGAAGAGAAUGUGGGGGCUGCCUCCAGGAGGAGAAGAAAGACUUGUGGGUCCACUGCAGACAUCCAGGUGGAGAUGUCUGGAGCCCAGGGGUCGGGCUUCUCCAGCUUUCUGGCAAUACCAAGGGGCAGACCCGGGAAUGGGUUGUUCAGUCACUGCUGUACCGCCCAUGAGCGGCAGAGGGCAGCAAAACACACUCAUCGGACGGGCAUCAAGGGAGCCUGAGGAUAACCAGGUAUGCUUUAAAAUGUUUUCGCAUCAUUUAGGGAACUCUUGCAGAGGAGAAAUACUACAGAUUUAAAAUUAUGAAACCAAAAAAACCACAGACACGAGUAACUAUUUAUUCUCCUUAUGAGAAACUUAGAACUGGGCGUGGUGGUUCACACCUGUAAUCCCAGCACUUUGGGAGGCCGAGUUGGGAGAAUCACCUGAGGCCAUGAGUUCGAGACCAGCCUGGGCAGCUCGGCGAGACCCUGUCUCUACUAAAAAUUCAAAAAAAAAUUAGCUGGGCAUGGGGGCAUGUGACUGUAAUCACAGCUACUUGGGUGGCUGAGGAACAAGAAUCCCUUGAACCUGGGAAGCGGGGGUUGCAGUGAGCUGAGAUGGCGCCACAGCACUCCACUCCAGCCUCGGCAACAGGGCGAGGCUCUGACUCAAAAAACAUAGAAGUGGGCCGGGCGCGGUGGCUCACGCCUGUAAUCCCAGCACUUUGGGAGGGUG